rnacentral:rRNA from 1 species
ACGGGUGAGUAACGCGUAGGCAACCUGCCCCUUGCAGAGGGAUAGCCAUUGGAAACGAUGAUUAAAACCUCAUAAUACCGGAGCAUCACAUGUUGAACCGGUCAAAGAUUUAUCGGCAAGGGAUGGGCCUGCGUCUGAUUAGCUGGUUGGUGGGGUAACGGCCUACCAAGGCGACGAUCAGUAGCCGACCUGAGAGGGUGAUCGGCCACAUUGGGACUGAGACACGGCCCAAACUCCUACGGGAGGCAGCAUG